GCCAAAAUAGCUCAGUUGGGAGAGCGUUAAACUGAAGAUCUAAGGGUCCCUGAUUCAAUCCCAUGUUUCGGCA